rnacentral:lncRNA from 1 species
AUGACUAACUUACAAGAUGCGGAACAAAAAUUUUUAAACCACGACUGGGUAAAUGACAAAGAAUGGAAACUGUAUUUGAGCAAUUUAUAUCCUUCACCAUCAAUGCAAAAUAUAGAGAAAUAUAAAAAAAAAUAUUUUCAAAAAAAUAUUGAUAAAAAUCUUAAUAUAAAUACUAAUUUUGAAACUGAUACAAAAGAAGAAAAAAAGGAAACUCCUGUUUAUACUCAACCAAAUAAUAAUGUUUAUAAUUCUAAGAACAUAACCCAUUUGAUGACCUUGUUAUAUAGUACAUUUCUUUUAACUAUGAGUAUAUUUUAUUUUAUACUUUUGGCACUGAAUAUAUCAUUCUAUAAGAAAAUGGCCACAUUAGUAUCUAUGUCCUAUCUCUUGACUAUCAUUUGUACCCUAUUUUUUGAUUAUAAAAUUCAUAAAAAAUACACUACUUUUGUGCAAAUAUUUUCAAGUCCAUUAAUUCAUUAUUUAUCAUACUCUAUGAUACUCUUUUUUAUUAAGGAUAGCAUUUUAAUAUUUCUACCAGUCUUUCUUACUAUUUUAAUAAAUGCUUAUUAUACAUAUAAAGAAAUAAGAUUACUUUUGCCUCAGGCAAUACAAAAGAAUUAUUAUUUAAAUACAUUAGUGUUUUACCUAGAUCGAACUGUAAACAUAUAAGGACAAAAUAGAUACAUAUAAAUAAACAUUACAAUCACAAAAACA